rnacentral:rRNA from 1 species
UACGGGAGGGUGCAAGCGUUAUCCGGAUUCACUGGGUUUAAAGGGAGCGUAGGUGGGUUGGUAAGUCAGUGGUGAAAUCCCCGAGCUUAACUUGGGAACUGCCAUUGAUACUAUCAGUCUUGAAUACUGUGGAGGUUAGCGGAAUAUGUCAUGUAGCGGUGAAAUGCUUAGAUAUGACAUAGAACACCAAUUGCGAAGGCAGCUGGCUACACAAAUAUUGACACUGAGGCUCGAAAGCGUGGGGAUCAAACAGG